GAUGAACGCUGGCGGUAUGCCUAACACAUGCAAGUCGAACGAAGCUUUCGAGCUUAGUGGCGGACGGGUGAGUAACGCGUGAGAAUCUGCCUUGAGGAUGGGGACAACAGUUGGAAACGACUGCUAAUACCCAAUAUGGCGAAAGCUGAAAUAUAUUUUGCCUUGAGAGGAGCUCGCGUCCGAUUAGUUAGUUGGUGGGGUAAAGGCCUACCAAGGCAGCGAUCGGUAGCUGGUCUGAGAGGAUGAGCAGCCACACUGGGACUGAGACACGGCCCAGACUCCUACGGGAGGCAGCAGUGGGGAAUUUUCCGCAAUGGGCGAAAGCCUGACGGAGCAAUACCGCGUGAGGGAGGAAGGUUUUUGGAUUGUAAACCUCUUUUUUAAAGGAAGAAACAAAUGACGGUACUUUAAGAAUAAGCAUCGGCUAACUCCGUGCCAGCAGCCGCGGUAAUACGGAGGAUGCAAGCGUUAUCCGGAAUCAUUGGGCGUAAAGCGUCCGCAGGUGGCCAAUCUUUGUCUGCUGUUAAAGACAGAAGCUCAACUUCUGAUAGGCAGUGGAAACUGGUAGGC
rnacentral:rRNA from 1 species